rnacentral:lncRNA from 1 species
UUCUUUAUCCCACCAAUGCAAAUUGGGGAGGACAGCAAAAGGCCACAUGUAAGGUGGCACCCACCAGCUGGUUGAGCAAUGCCAACCACAGUCCCCUGAGCAUCACAGAGGUAACAGUGGGCAUCAGCUCCUGGGUCUGGAGCUCAGACUGCAUGGCCUCAGGGCCCAGUAGGGAAGGUCACCUCCCACAGUAGGUUUGGCCUUAAAAACACUAAAAACAGUUGCAUUCAUUGUCUUUUUUUUCCUUUUUUGCUUUAAUAAUAAUAAAAAAAAGAAAACCAAAACCUUCUAUAAUUUAUAAGCUAUUUUUUGCUAUCUACAUUAUAUAUAAAAUAUAGACUCUGUUUACUUUAUAACACACAUCUUUUCCCCUUGAUAAAUAACUCUUUAAAAUAUCUAGUAUACAUGCCUUGACUUUUUAUAUAUAAGUUUGGUUUUAUACAUAUACAUACAUAUAUAUAUACUCAUGUUUGUAAAACACAAUAAAUACAUACUCGACAAUGACAACCAAACAAAUGUAAUUUUGGUUAAAAGAAAAAGAAAAAGAAAAAGAAGUAGUACUGUAAAAGCACCAGGCAGCAAAAAGAAAGCCAUAAUUGCUAGAAACUUCUCCCUCCCCUGGGUGAGGCACAGGGCACAAUACCAAUGAAGUUUCCACGUGUUUGGAUGCCUGAAGGAGGAAGAGGGGAGCAAAGUAGCUGGUCAGGUCACUUGCUUUUUUUGUUUUGUUUCUGAACCUGGGAUUAGACUAGAAUCACAGGUAAGUCAUUGCGUUUAUAAGGAGAAGUCAUGGGGCUCAUUCAACAACUUAGCCCUUGUGAGGAUGGCUGCAGAGAACAGAUCAGGACGGGGAGUGAGAGAAACAGCAGGACACGACCUAUGGUUAUUCUGCAGGCCCUGCCCACACCAGCCCAGGCGAGCUUUUGAUGCUGCACUAAGCGUAGAGCUACUGCAUACGACACAGUCUUGUUGAGUCUACUCACUGCUGGUUUAAACAGAAAAAGAGUACAACAGAUUUAGGAGUAUUCAGUAGUGCAACAGUUCAGUAGCCAGACUGAGAGUGAGAUGCUUCAGUGGCUCCCUCCAGGGCUCCAGCAAAGAAGGACUGUGACACGAGGACGAGAAAGGUCAGUACACCACCGCCUUCCACUGCUAACCAAUGUGGUCACUCAGACUCCGAGACCACUGAGCCCAUCACCUCUGAUGGCAGCAGCAUGGGAGGCCUUCGCCCCUCCCAUGGGAAGUUCUGGGAGCCUGACUCAGUCAGGCUGUCCCUGAGACUCCGAGCACUGCCACCAGCCUGUUCCUCUGCCCAGGGUAGGGCAGGCCAGGUGGGGCGUGCCAGCUGCCUGUCAGGACGCCACGCUGCAGACACAGACAGCUGUCCUGUCACUGCCCUCCUCCCUGUCCUCAAAACUGAAAUGUGGGGCUCUGAUAACUUCUUAAUGAGCUCCCCAGUGUCCUGGCCUCUGCCCUGCAGACUUCAGAGCUUUAAUGGCCAAAAAAGGAGGCAGCAGGUGGGGCAGGCAUCAUAAGCCAGCCAAGGCCUGGAUCUGUAUCUAGGAGAGGAGUGGGUGGGUGGGGGCACUAAGCAGAGCUGGCCUUAGGAAAUCUCAAAGAUGGGCAUCUAAAUGUGUGUCCCUCGUCCUUGCCAAGUACAAUACAAACUACAGAUAACUGUUCCCAUUACAGUCUCCAGGGGACACCAAAACCAGCUAGCUUCUGAGUACAUUCAAGACAUAACUGAGUUGCUAAAAAACGCGGGAGCUCAGGGAAUACAGCCGGUUGCAGGUCUGAGUCCUAAUCUCGACGCCUCCACCAACUUAGCCAUGGGACUUCAGACAAGUCACUUCACCUCUCUGCCUCCCUAACCCAUCUGAGAGCUCUGAAGGUGCCAUGUACAGCAGGAUGGGACCUGCAAUGAGGGGCUUCCAGGCCUGGUUCUAACCCUAAGGAACGUGUUGACCUCCGCCAUCAGUCUCUGGGAUGAAAAAUAAAGGGUGUGAAGACACUAGGCUCAGAAGUCCCUUCGGAUGCAACCGGAGCUACUUUCUCCCUGGGAUGCCUCCCCAGCAUGCUGAAAUUUCCCUCCAUACCCACCAGAAUAAAAGCGAUGCCAUCCGAGACCUGCUUUAUGACCCAGCUCAAAUUCGACAGCUGGGCUAGGGGCUAGGAGACAAGAUGAAGAGAGUUGAGAGAGCGCAGAGGUAUGAAUGCAAUGCACAGGUAAAAUCGGUGUCACAGACAAAUGAAAUUUAAAAGCCCCACUCCCUGAGAAGACGUUUUCCUGUAUUAGACCACCCAGAGCAAAAUCCAAGGCCACCUCUAAGAGCGGGCCAAUGAUGUCCUGCAAAUCCCCAACCCUGCGGUUUGCUGCAUCACAAUCAAAAUCAACUUAGGAAAGUCAAUUUUAAAAGACGCUGAGUGCAAUUUCCAUUUUGGAAAGGGAAGAAGAAUCGACUGCUUCUAUUUGCAGCUCUAUAAGGAACCUUCUAGCAGAACAUCAAAUGUGGCAUCCUGCUCAACAGGAGGGCGCGGAUGGCAGGGGAGCUGAGCCCCGUGCAGGUGCAGGUCCCGGUCCCAGGCACUGCGAAUCACGGAUGCUCCACGGGACAUGAGAGGAGCGGCUCCCACCCCGCCCCCGGGGGGUUCAAUAAGGAGUGAACAAAUCUAUCUUCUUGGGAGGCUAACGUGGUUUGGAGAAGAAAAGUUUUGGAUUCGGGUGACUCCACUUCUGCUUAACAGCUGUGUGACUUGGGGCAAGUUAUUCUUCCCAGAAGAACCCCGAUUUUCUCAUGUGUAUCAUGGGAAUAACAAUACCCAAUACCACAGGGUGGCAUUGGGGGUUAAAUGAGAUAAUUUAUCUAAAAUACCCUACACACACUGGGUGAUCAAGAAAUGUGGGCACACAGCGAGUACUGGAUGGCUCUCGAAAGGGUCCGGGUAAAGCUCAUCUUGAAGUGGAGUCAGCCGAGACUGCCCCUAGAAGGAAGGUCCAGAUACACCUGACAUACAGAUACUUGCCACCAGGUAGGUAAGGAGUAUGCGUGGUACCUGCAACGUCUCUCCCAUGGAGAGGAGAAGUCAUAGAAGAGCUGGCAGUGGUCAUGGACUCUUUCUGCAGAAGAAAACUCAAGAGAAUCCAAACUUUCCAUGUAAGCCCAGAUCAUUCCAAACACUUGUGAAUACCAGGUAAGCACCACUGACCUCCACCCUCUCUGUACCAGUAGCAUGAGCAAACAGUAGCAUGAGCCCAAAUUUCCAAGACCAGAAGCAUCUACACAAUGAUGGCUGCAAACCAAGCAACAGUGACUAAAUAUGAAGGCCUUGCAGCGGUACCUCCCUUACAUGGGGUCUUUGAAACACAGUAACCAGAGGGGCCUCGUCCUGGGUCAAAGUCACCUGGUGGCACCCAGACCCCACAGCACACCAUGAGGUGCUGGGCCUUGCCCCCGUAGGCUUUGUUGAGAGCUUGAGAUCGCAGCUUCCCAUUGUGGCUACCAAUCAAGGCUUUGCAAGUGGUAGUAAAGGGGCAAAAGGCGCACUAAGGAAGUAUCUUAAUUUCCUAGAAUUCUUGCAUUUAAAAAAUGAACUACCUAGGUCUUCUCUUCCUCUUCUUCCUGCAUCUACCUACGACAUGCAUUUCAGUAGAUAAAAUUUGAGUAUGCUUACUAAAAUAUUUCUCAUGCUUCUUUUAAAGAAUAUAGUUUCUCUCUAUAUACCCUAGCCUCAAAUGACAAUUUUUGUUUUAGACACUGAACAUUUAUCACAGAACUCAGAGGCCUUUGGAAGAAAAAAACACUUCCCAAAUCUUUUGGUUAAGCAUAGAAACAUAUAAUCGAAACCUCCGGAAUAUGCCUACUUAUAUUACAAACAACUUAGAAAAAUGGGACCCACAGAGUCAUCUAGUUUCCUUUCCCUUCGUCCUUCAUCACAGCCUUGUGGGCUAAAUAGAAAAAAAAAAUUAUUUCUACUGUUUCUACAAAAGUUAUUUAUCCAGGGGGCUAUUUAGGAGAACCUGAAACAAAGCAGCCCACCACAUGGCCCUC